rnacentral:rRNA from 1 species
UACGGAGGGGGCUAGCGUUGUCGGAAUUACUGGGCGUAAAGGGCGCGUAGGCGGCACUGUUAGUCAGGCGUGAAAGUCCUGGGCUCAACCUGGGAACUGCGCUUGAUACGGCAGAGCUAGAGGAUGGAAGAGGCUCGCGGAAUUCCCAGUGUAGAGGUGAAAUUCGUAGAUAUUGGGAAGAACACCGGUGGCGAAGGCGGCGAGCUGGUCCAUUACUGACGGCUGAGGCGCGACAGCGUGGGGAGCAAACAGG